rnacentral:rRNA from 1 species
GUUUGAUCCUGGCUCAGGGUUAACGCUGGCGGCGCGCAUAACACAUGCAAGUCGAGCGAGGGCUUACUUCUCGCAAGAGAGGUGAGUUCCUAGCGGCGAACGGGUGAGUAACACGUGGGCAACCUUUCCUAUCGCGGGGGAUAACACCGGGAAACCGAUGCUAAUACCGCAUGUCGUCACCGGUCGCAUGGCUGGUGAAGAAAGCAGCAAUGCACGAUGGGGUGGGCCCGCGGCCUAUCAGCUAGUCGGUGGGGUAACGGCCUACCGAGGCGAUGACGGGUAGCUGGUCUGAGAGGACGGCCAGCCACACGGGGACUGAGACACGGCCCCGACUCCUACGGGAGGCAGCAGUGAGGAAUCUUCCGCAAUGGGCGAAAGCCUGACGCAGCAACGCCGCGUGGAGGAUGAAGUCCCUUGGGACGUAAACUCCUUUCGACCGGGAAGAUUAUGACGGUACCGGUGGAAGAAGCCCCGGCUAACUUCGUGCCAGCAGCCGCGGUAA